UUGUGGUGUCAUGGUCCUUGUUGACCGUUCAUAUAAACCUUGAAAUUGUUUUUCAGCUUAUGCACGGGUUAUAUAAUGUUCAAGAGAGACCUUUGACAUCAUAGA
rnacentral:pre_miRNA from 2 species